AACGCGAAGAACCUUACCCAGGCUUGACAUCCUGCGAAUCCUGACGAAAGUCGGGAGUGCCUUUUAGGAGCGCAGUGACAGGUGUUGCAUGGCCGUCGUCAGCUCGUGUCGUGAGAUGUUUGGUUAAGUCCAUUAACGAGCGCAACCCUUAUCGUCUGUUACAAUUUCAGGCGAGACUGCCCCGGCCAACGGGGAGGAAGGUGGGGAUGAGGUCAGGUCAGCAUGGCCCUUACGCCUGGGGCUACACACGUCAUACAAUGGCCGGUACAACGCGUUUGCCAACCCGCGAGGGGGAGCUAAUCGUACCAAAACCGGUCCCAGUUCGGAUUGAAGGCUGAAACUCGCCUCCAUGAAGUCGGAAUCGCUAGUAAACGUGGGUCAGCAUACCACGUUGAAUACGUUCCCGGGCCUUGUA
rnacentral:rRNA from 1 species